UUUCUCCUGGUAUACUGUCUACCUCUGGUUGGUCUUUUGUUUUGGAGGGGGUAGAUAAGGCGCACGAGAGCAGCAGAUUCCCGUUCUCAAAGGGGGAAAUUAGAGUGGAGGCAGAGGAGAGUUAUCGCUGACUAAUGCGCUUUAUCUCACGGGGGAGAGCGAGAGGGACCUUCACUGACACAUGCAGUUCCAGUGCCUCAACUUACCAGCCUUACUGGGUUCUGGACAGCUCAGAGAAGAUGCAUGUCAGUGAGGGUAUGGGGAGAGGACGUCAUGUCCCAGAGCUGGUGGAAGAUGUGAUCCUACUGUCCUCAUCAGGCACCGAGAAUGUAGCCAGAUCCCAAAUCACAGCUCAUGAUGUCUUAUGGCCCAGCUGGGGCUCAAAUCUGACUCCUGGUCCCAAUCCAGAAGCGGAAAAAAUGAGAAAAAUGGCAUCAGGCAUUCUCUAGGGACAGGAGAACGACUCCAGAGCGAGUGAUCUCAGGGCCGAGUGUCCAGGAUUGCUUCUGUGUCACGUUGAGCAACUGUCGUUCUGUUCGCCACAGGUCAACAUUUGGCUGGGGCCAUGGUGAAAGCUGUUCAGUCUUCAGGUGUUCCUGCUGACCCUUGAGCUCUCCCCAGGCUCAGGCGGCCCGGCCCGGCUCGGCUGGUUCCACACGUCAUCGACGGACUCUUUCAGCGACGCUCCGGCCGCAGACACCGUCUGGCCCCGGAUCACACAAAAGCAUCGGAGCCGGAGGCACCUCUGGACGGGGAUGAAAGGGGCCAUCACUCAGUGUCCCUGUCUAGCCUGUCCACCUGCUCCUCUGUCCCCAGAGUGACGUUCACAGUUAGAUUCCAGCCAGCUGCAGGAAUGUUCUGUUCCGUUCAGUCCAGUUCCUACGUUAGGAUCCAGUCUGGCAUCAGACCUAAAACGCAUGCCAGUGUUUUGGGAGUCCACA